UACAGAGGGUGCAAGCGUUGUUCGGAAUUAUUGGGCGUAAAGCGCGUGUAGGCGGCUUUGCAAGUCGGGUGUGAAAGCCCUCAGCUCAACUGAGGAAGUGCGCCCGAAACUGCAGAGCUUGAGUGCCGGAGAAGGUGGCGGAAUUCCCCAAGUAGAGGUGAAAAUUCGUAGAUAUGGGGAGGAACACCGGUGGCGAAGGCGGCCACCUGGACGGUAACUGACGCUGAGACGCGAAAAGCGUGGGGGAGCAAACAGG
rnacentral:rRNA from 1 species